CUGCUGCCUGCUGGGAAAAGGAGGGUCUGGGAGGCAGAUCGGGAGCUCACAGGAAGCCGGGAUUGAGGUCAUUCUGUUACUGCGUAUCUUAAUCGUUUUCAGGAAGAAGUUGGAGGAAUGCAGCAAGACUAAAUCUGCGACGGGUGAAGGGUUAUCAAGACGGGGUCUCACUGAGCUGCUUAGCGCCUCGCUUUUGCUGAGGCUGGCUUUGAACUUGAGGUUCUCCUGCCUCAGCCUCCCAAGCUGCUGGGAUGACAGGUGUGCACCACGGCGCCCAGCCAGGGAUCUUGUCUUUUGGAAGAGUACUGGGGACUGGAUCAGGCUGGACCUUCCCAUACCAACCGAAUCUCCAGUUUGACCAUUUAGGUUCUGGUCAUGCCACCGAGCUGUGGCGAGUUCCAACCAAAUGCCCUGUACCUGGGAGUGGACAAGUUCUCCCAGGACCAUAUGGAGGGUGAGAAGAGAGCCCUGGACAGGAGCUGAGCCCUGCAAGCAAUCCCACUUACGGAGAACCACUUUGUUCCAGGACAGACCAACAUCUUUGCCCUGGUGGAGUUCACAAUCUGUUGAGGAGAGAUAGGCAACUAGAAGAAUAAACGAAACACGUAGUUUGUUUUUAA